AAAGUUGAAAAGAACUUUGAAGAGAGAGUUCAAGAGUACGUGAAACCGUUCAGGGGUAAACCUGAGAAACCCAAAAGAUCGAAUGGGGAGAUUCAUCGUCAGCGUAUUUGAUAUAUGUAUAAGUUAUGAUAUGAAUUAUCCUCUCACGAGGAUAUAAAUUUGUACAUACUUGUAUUAUUUUAUUGUCAAUUAUUGUCGGCGUGCACUUCUCCUCUAGUAGGACGUCGCGACCCGUUGAGUGUCGAUCUACGGCCUAAUUGGGUAGCCUUUAAUUGUAANAAAUUAAAGACCAAUUGGUGUUUUCUGAUCGACUGNUCGGCGGUACUCGUACGGUAUUGAGUCGCAUUUUAUAUGCGUUAACACCCGUCGCAAGCGAGGCCAGUCACCCGGUAGUGCGGACCUAGUGCCGUCACUGGGCCUGGCCAGCUGUUGGCUGUUGCGGUGUUCUGUAACUGGCUCUAAAUGAAAUUACCGGUCAGCGACGCUACUGCUUUGGGUACUUUCAGGACCCGUCUUGAAACACGGACCAAGGAGUCUAACAUGUGCGCGAGUCAUUGGGAUUAUUUUAUUAAAUUAAACCUAAAGGCGCAAUGAAAGUAAA
rnacentral:rRNA from 1 species